rnacentral:lncRNA from 1 species
AUUGGCCUACUUACGUUCAGUGAUACUGGAACAAUAUAAUAUAACAAGUUUUAAUCCUAAGACUUUUGCCUUUAGUGCUAUCUCAAGUUAAAAUGUUAAAAGUCUCACUCUGGUCCUUUUUUUUUUUUUUUUUACUAUUAAAAGUGUUCUCAGUGGUCUUUAGAUUACGAUUAUGAAGUUUUUAGCCAAAAUCAUGUUACAUCUGUCAUUUUCGAGGGCUUUUCAUCAGAGCCCCAGAAGAUCAUUAGCAAUUUGCCUCUGAGUCAUAAGCGGAAACAGCACUGCUCUGCACCCUCCUCUUCACGCCAUCUUGUAGCUAACGUCUUUAGCGACAUGAUGAAAGUUCAUAUCAUAAUUGGCUUUCUUACGAGCAUUGCAAUCUGCUAAUACACACGCUUGUUCCGCGAUUGUCUGACCUGCGUAGCGGGGCACCGAGGGUGGAGCUUAGAUUUAUGAUGUAUGAAAUCUCACUCUAUCUGAUCCUACUUUUUGAGUCUCCCAGAGAUCCACAGCCAUUUCAAUGCAGAAACACUCAGAAAUGCAAUUUCGCACUUACUUUUCUCAUGAUAUGUCCUGUAGCAUCAGAAAAAUGCCACAUGAACAUGUAGACAACAAGAAAAACAUGAUUUUCACUGGAGUGGGUGUUUAACCUGCAGCAGCCUCAGCUUUUACUAUUUCUCCAUGCACACUAACACUGUUGGUCUAAUGUGCAACAUCUGCAGUCAUUUAUGACUAAAAAUAAUGCCCCAUGUGCACGAGGCACAUGCAAGUGUUAGGCUGCUUUGCUAAUCAGCAGUUUUUGUUGGAAAACUCAGUGUUGUUGGAAAAAAUAAAGUAAGGCUGACAUCUCUCCAGUGCAAGCAAAAAGAAAGUCUGAAGAAGCAGGUUUGAACAUCAGGUACGAUCCGUGCAUCCAUAACAAAAUCAAGAGUUCUGCACGGGGGAGUCACCUUAAUCAAAUCACAAUAUUUCCACUGGCGGGUUGAGAAUGAGAGCUAAACUUUCCAAUUUGGGUAAGCAAUACAAAGUUGACUCAGUUUUGAAUGAUGGAAAGAAUUGUGAUGCUACAAAAACAGAAUAAGAGCAGCUAAAGCUAGAAAAAACAAACCUGGCAGAUUUGUAAUGAAAGGAGGGCUUGUGAAGAGACACAGCCAGAGUCAUCUUUGAAAGCACUCUCACUACCCACAAUCCAUUUUGUUUGUCACUCAGCCAAACAACAACACAUCAGGCCAUAGUCGUACCAAUGAUCUUCAUUCAGGGCCUUUUCCUUUUAGUUCUUGACAAAGUUCUGUGAUGUUUGCCUUCUCUCAAAGAGGUGACGUUCAAAGUUACCCAGAGGCUUCACACCUUUGAGUUUUUAUUGAUUUAUUUAUUCACGGCCUGAACGCCUCACUCACUGCUGAGAAAUAUGUAGAGAAAAUGGGAUCCUUGUCUGCGCAGUCAGGAGCUGUCUGCUUCAAUUAGAAACUUUCAAACCAUAUCCGGGACUUUUUCCACUGUUUGCUCUUCAUCAGCUCACAUUUUCCAUCUGCAUGAAAGCUUAGAUUCCAGCUUUUGGAGGCAGAGAGAUUUUCUUUUGGUCUUUCUUAAAGGUAGAUAAAAACAAACUUAGACAAUGUGUCAGUAAAUAUGGUGAUCUGUUCUCACUUUUGUGUGUCCCAUAGCGCCCUAAAUGUAACAACAAAUUAUACUCAAAAUACUAGGAAUGCCUGCUGCUUGACUGGAAGCUGCUUUAUUUUUUUCUUUGACUUGAAAAACUUUCUUGGCUGAAAUUAGCAUGUCUAAUGAAAACGCACAGCUGUGUGUACCUCUUACUUGAAAGUAUUUCCUGCCUCUUAGCCCCUUUAAACCCAAUCUUUCUGCUUAUUCGAAGAUGCUUUGCAACUAAACUAAGCAAUAAAAAAAUGUGAAUCAUUGAAAAACUGUUUGGACAUCCUUGUGUCAUUCCCACAACUGUUCCAGUAAAAGUUUGCACUUUUGGGAAACCAGGAAUAGCAGACGAGUGAAUGUUAGUUUGGCGCUGAUGUUACAUCAUGAUGUCAAACUAAACUGUGGUUUUCUGCUUGUGUGUUGGUUUGGUUUGGGUAAAGCAUGGUAUCAAGUGAACAAUGGGUUCGUUGGUCAUCAUUCAAUAAAAUCUUUUGGCGUGUUUAAAUAUCACUCAUAGGAAAAUCACAGACUUUCUUUCUGCCUUGCAAGACUCAAGUAGUUGUCCAUUCAAAGUUAAAUUCUGUUUUAAUUUCAUGAUAUCUGUUUGAGACAUGCAUGUCAAAUGAAAUUAUGAUUGUUUUGUCUUCAGUAUAUGUGACAGGAUGUUUACUGGUUUCUAAAUUCAAGACUUGCUUGCAGUAAAAGUGAGAAAUGAGAACUUACAGAGAGAGUGAUCAGCCAGGUGUUUGAUUUCAGAUUUACGAUGUAGUGCUGGCUCAAGUCCUAGACACAAACUCAAGAACAACCUGACUCCUGAGUGAUUAAUUUUGACUGGUAAUUGAUUUAUCUGACUGUAUUUGAAACCAAACAGGUAAAGAUAAUCCAAAUGUAAAUAUGUUUAACCAUAUUUUCGCAGAAUAACAUUACUCUAAGUCAUGAUGUGUAAUAACUUGACAAAGAUGGCUUAAAAAAAAAAAAACUCUUUCCAGGAACAAACAGGCAACAUCAAUGAGACCACAACCAUUUAAUGUACAACAUAAUGAACAGUCAAACAUGUACCCAGCAGAACAACAUUGACAUGAGUCUUCAUACUAUACAGACAGCUAGUAAAAGCAGCAUGAAGCAGGUCGGUGCAAAGUAUGACAAAUGGAAGCUUAAUUUUGUAGUUUGUGACUCAGGUUUGACAAAAAGUGAAGUGGGUUUAGUCUAGCUGUCCUGCUGUCACAACUUAUUUUUGUUAAUGUUGUGUGUCCUGUUUGACCCUGACAGAAAAUGACGAAAACUGUACUCAAAUGUCUGGGAACAUGGCAACAACGCAAAAGAAGUGAGACUGAGAACUUUCCUGUGGGUAAUUACAUGCAAACCAGUUCCUGUUUCAUGCGAUGGCUUUAGGCAUUUUGGGUUUCUCUUUGUUGGAAAAAUGAAAAGGCUCACCCACACAUUACACCAUAAACUCUGGGGGUUCAAUACCCACACUCCCAGAGUUACUGCCAGAAUCAGGAUUGUGCUUUUUCUUUAAACCCGUGCUGCUGUCCUCCUCCUCCUCCAAAUAAGCUGAACCAGCAUUGAGCAGAGGGCGAAAGAGCACAUUCUUCCAAGCCAAUACCAUUUAAUGGUUGCACACAGAAGCAAGAGAGGCAACUAGAAUUUUUUCCUAAUUACUUUAAACCUCUUUUUGAGGAAUGACGCAUCAGGGGGAUUGAGGUCGCUCUUUGGGAAGAUCCGGUGCUCCUUUAUGCUUUAAGGGGAGGAAGAGGAAGGAAAGACCUCCUCCAGACUAGAUAGUAAUCAUUUUUAUACUCAAGGCUCAGCCUUUUUCUUGUAUGCUUUGGUUCCCUCUAUAAAAUUAACACCACCUGUCUAAAAGGCCCUGUCAUAUAAUUACAUUCUUGUAAAACUACUGAGGUUAUCUGAGUUCAACACCAGUGAAUUCAAGAUUGAUAGUGUCUUAGUACCAUGUACUGUGGUUAUAUUAAGUUACCCGCAAAACUUUACUAUACCUUUAGUUGUUUAAGGUUGGAGCUAGGGUUAGGGUUAGGUGUGGGGUUGGAGCUAGGGUUAGGGUUAGGGUUAGGGUUAGGGUUAAGGUUGGAGCUAGGGUUAGGGUUAGGGUUAGGGUUGGAGCUAGGGUUAGGGUUAGGGUUAGGGUUGGCGUUAGGGUUAGUGUUGAAGCUAGGGUUAGGGUUGGGCUUGGAGAUAGGAUUUUUCUGAGUGCAAUGAACCAACUCCCGAGUCUCUAGGACAUUCCUAAAAAAAAUUGAUUUUUUCCCAUGGGAAUGCAUGGGUUAGGAUUUGGGUUAGGGUUGGAGCUAGGGUUAGGGUUAGGGUUGGAGUUAGGGUUAGUGUUGGAGCUAGGGUUAGGGUUGGGCUUGGUGCUAGGAUUUUUCUGAGUGCAAUGAACCAACUCCCGAGUCUCUAGGACGUUCCUAAAAAAAAUUGAUUUUUUCCCAUGGGAAUGCAUGGGUUAGGAUUUGGGUUAGGGUUGGAGCUAGGGUUAGGGUUAGGGUUAGGGUUGGAGUUAGGGUUAGUGUUGGAGCUAGGGUUGGGCUUGGAGCUAGGAUUUUUCUGAGUGCAAUGAACCAACUCCCGAGUCUCUAGGACGUUCCUAAAAAAAAUUGAUUUUUUCCCAUAGGAAUGCAUGGGUUAGGGUUGGGGUUAGGGUUGGAGCUAGGGUUAGGGUUAGGGUUAGGGUUGGAGUUAGGGUUAGUGUUGGAGCUAGGGUUAGGGUUGGGCUUGGAGCUAGGAUUUUUCUGAAUGCAAUGAACCAACUCCCGAGUCUCUAGGACGUUCCUUAAAAAAAUUUGAUUUUUUCCCGUGGAAUGCAUGGGUUAGGGUUAGGGUUAGGGUUGGAGCUAGGGUUAGGGUUAGGGUUAGGGUUGGAGUUAGGGUUAGUGUUGGAGCUAGGGUUAGGGUUGGGCUUGGAGCUAGGAUUUUUCUGAGUGCAAUGAACCAACUCCCGAGUCUCUAGGACGUUCCUAAAAAAAUUUGAUUUUUUCCCAUAGGAAUGCAUGGGUUAGGGUUAGGGUUAGGGUUGGAGCUAGGGUUAGGGUUAGGGUUAGGGUUGGAGCUAGGGUUAGUGUUGGAGCUAGGGUUAGGGUUGGGCUUGGAGCUAGGAUUUUUCUGAGUGCAAUGAACCAACUCCCGAGUCUUAUAGGACGUUCCUAAAAAAAUUAGAUUUUUUUCCCAUAGGAAUGCAUGGGUUAGGGUUGGAGCUAGGGUUAGGUUUAGGGUUAGGGUUGGAGUUAGGGUUAGUGUUGGAGCUAGGGUUAGGGUUGGGCUUGGAGCUAGGAUUUUUCUGAGUGCAAUGAACCAACUCCCGAGUCUCUAGGACGUUCCUUAAAAAAAUUUGAUUUUUUCCCGUGGAAUGCAUGGGUUAGGGUUAGGGUUAGGGUUGGAGCUAGGGUUAGGGUUAGGGUUAGGGUUGGAGUUAGGGUUAGUGUUGGAGCUAGGGUUAGGGUUGGGCUUGGAGCUAGGAUUUUUCUGAGUGCAAUGAACCAACUCCCGAGUCUCUAGGACGUUCCUAAAAAAAUUUGAUUUUUUCCCAUAGGAAUGCAUGGGUUAGGGUUAGGGUUAGGGUUGGAGCUAGGGUUAGGGUUAGGGUUAGGGUUGGAGCUAGGGUUAGUGUUGGAGCUAGGGUUAGGGUUGGGCUUGGAGCUAGGAUUUUUCUGAGUGCAAUGAACCAACUCCCGAGUCUUAUAGGACGUUCCUAAAAAAAUUAGAUUUUUUUCCCAUAGGAAUGCAUGGGUUAGGGUUGGAGCUAGGGUUAGGUUUAGGGUUAGGGUUGGAGUUAGGGUUAGUGUUGGAGCUAGGGUUAGGGUUGGGCUUGGAGCUAGGAUUUUUCUGAGUGCAAUGAACCAACUCCCGAGUCUCUAGGACGUUCCUUAAAAAAAUUUGAUUUUUUCCCGUGGAAUGCAUGGGUUAGGGUUAGGGUUAGGGUUGGAGCUAGGGUUAGGGUUAGGGUUAGGGUUGGAGUUAGGGUUAGUGUUGGAGCUAGGGUUAGGGUUGGGCUUGGAGCUAGGAUUUUUCUGAGUGCAAUGAACCAACUCCCGAGUCUCUAGGACGUUCCUAAAAAAAUUGAUUUUUUCCCAUAGGAAUGCAUGGGUUAGGGUUAGGGUUAGGGUUGGAGCUAGGGUUAGGGUUAGGGUUAGGGUUGGAGCUAGGGUUAGUGUUGGAGCUAGGGUUAGGGUUGGGCUUGGAGCUAGGAUUUUUCUGAGUGCAAUGAACCAACUCCCGAGUCUUAUAGGACGUUCCUAAAAAAAUUUGAUUUUUUCCCAUAGGAAUGCAUGGGUUAGGGUUGGAGCUAGGGUUAGGGUUAGGGUUAGGGUUGGAGUUAGGGUUAGUGUUGGAGCUAGGGUUAGGGUUGGGCUUGGAGCUAGGAUUUUUCUGAGUGCAAUGAACCAACUCCCGAGUCUCUAGGACGUUCCUUAAAAAAAUUUGUUUUUUUUCCGUGGAAUGCAUGGGUUAGGGUUAGGGUUAGGGUUGGAGCUAGGGUUAGGGUUAGGGUUAGGGUUGGAGUUAGGGUUAGUGUUGGAGCUAGGGUUAGGGUUGGGCUUGGAGCUAGGAUUUUUCUGAGUGCAAUGAACCAACUCCCGAGUUUCUAGGACGUUCCUAAAACAAUUUGAUUUUGUCCCAUGGGAAUGCAUGGGUUAGGGUUAGGGUUAGGGUUGGAGCUAGGGUUUGGGUUAGGGUUAGGGUUGGAGCUAGGGUUAGGGUUAGGGUUAAGGUUGGAGCUAGGGUUAGGGUUAGGGUUAGGAUUAGGGUGGAGCUAGGGUUAGGGUUAGGGUUAGAGCUAGGGUUGGGGCUAGGGUUAGGGUUAGGGUUAAGGUGGGAGCUAGGGUUAGGGUUAGGGUUAGGGUUGGAGCUAGGGUUAGGGUUAGGGUUAGGGUUGGAGCUAGGGUUAGGGUUAGGGUUAGGGUUGGAGUUAGGGUUAGUGUUGGAGCUAGGUUUAGGGUUGGGCUUGGAGCUAGGAUUUUUCUGAGUGCAAUGAACCAACUCCCGAGUCUCUAGGACGUUCCCAAAAAAAUUUGAUUUUUUUCCCAUAGGAAUGCAUGGGUUAGGGUUAGGGUUAGGGUUGGAGCUAGGGUUAGGGUUAGGGUUAGGGUUGGAGUUAGGGUUAGUGUUGGAGCUAGGGUUAGGGUUGGGCUUGGAGCUAGGAUUUUUCUGAGUGCAAUGAACCAACUCCCGAGUCUCUAGGACGUUCCUAAAAAAAUUUGAUUUUUUCCCAUGGGAAUGCAUGGGUUAGGGUUAGGGUUAGGGUUGGAGCUAGGGUUUGGGUUAGGGUUAGGGUUGGAGCUAGGGUUAGGGUUAGGGUUAAGGUUGGAGCUAGGGUUAAGGUUAGGGUUAGGAUUAAGGUGGAGCUAGGGUUAGGGUUAGGGUUAGGGUUAGAGCUAAGGUUAGGGUUGGGGCUAGGGUUAGGGUUAGGGUUAGGGUUAAGGUUGGAGCUAGGGUUAGGGUUAGGGUUAGGGUUGGAGCUAGGGUUAGGGUUAGGGUUGGAGCUAGGGUUAGGGUUAUGGUUAGGGUUGGAGUUAGGGUUAGUGUUGGAGCUAGGGUUAGGGUUGGGCUUGGAGCUAGGAUUUUUCUGAGUGCAAUGAACCAACUCCCGAGUCUCUAGGACGUUCCUAAAAAAAUUUGAUUUUUUCCCAUGGGAAUGCAUGGGUUAGGAUUUGGGUUAGGGUUGGAGCUAGGGUUAGGGUUAGGGUUAGGGUUGGAGUUAGGGUUAGUGUUGGAGCUAGGGUUAGGUUUGGGCUUGGAGCUAGGAUUUUUCUGAGUGCAAUGAACCAACUCCCGAGUCUCUAGGACGUUCCUAAAAAAAUUAGAUUUUUUUCCCAUAGGAAUGCAUGGGUUAGGGUUAGGGUUAGGGUUGGAGCUAGGGUUAGGGUUAGGGUUAGGGUUGGAGCUAGGGUUAGUGUUGGAGCUAGGGUUAGGGUUGGGCUUGGAGCUAGGAUUUUUCUGAGUGCAAUGAACCAACUCCCGAGUCUUAUAGGACGUUCCUAAAAAAAUUAGAUUUUUUUCCCAUAGGAAUGCAUGGGUUAGGGUUGGAGCUAGGGUUAGGUUUAGGGUUAGGGUUGGAGUUAGGGUUAGUGUUGGAGCUAGGGUUAGGGUUGGGCUUGGAGCUAGGAUUUUUCUGAGUGCAAUGAACCAACUCCCGAGUCUCUAGGACGUUCCUUAAAAAUUUGAUUUUUUCCCGUGGAAUGCAUGGGUUAGGGUUAGGGUUAGGGUUGGAGCUAGGGUUAGGGUUAGGGUUAGGUUGGAGUUAGGGUUAGUGUUGGAGCUAGGGUUAGGUUGGGCUUGGCUAAUUCUGAGUAACCAAUGGCUUAGGGUCUAGGUUAUUGGAUGGGUUAGGUUAGGGUUAGGUUGGAGCUGGGUUAGGUUAGGGUUAGGUGGUGGGUGGUGUCAUAGGGUUGCAGGGUUAGGGUUAGGGUUAGGGUUGGAGCUAGGGUUAGGUUUAGGGUUAGGGUUGGAGUUAGGGUUAGUGUUGGAGCUAGGGUUAGGGUUGGGCUUGGAGCUAGGAUUUUUCUGAGUGCAAUGAACCAACUCCCGAGUCUCUAGGACGUUCCUUAAAAAAUUUGAUUUUUUCCCGGGGAAUGCAUGGGUUAGGGUUAGGGUUAGGGUUGGAGCUAGGGUUAGGGUUAGGGUUAGGGUUGGAGUUAGGGUUAGUGUUGGAGCUAGGGUUAGGGUUGGGCUUGGAGCUAGGAUUUUUCUGAGUGCAAUGAACCAACUCCCGAGUCUCUAGGACGUUCCUAAAAAAAAUUGAUUUUUUCCCAUAGGAAUGCAUGGGUUAGGGUUAGGGUUAGGGUUGGAGCUAGGGUUAGGGUUAGGGUUAGGGUUGGAGCUAGGGUUAGUGUUGGAGCUAGGGUUAGGGUUGGGCUUGGAGCUAGGAUUUUUCUGAGUGCAAUGAACCAACUCCCGAGUCUUAUAGGACGUUCCUAAAAUAAUUUGAUUUUUUCCCAUAGGAAUGCAUGGGUUAGGGUUGGAGCUAGGGUUAGGGUUAGGGUUAGGGUUGGAGUUAGGGUUAGUGUUGGAGCUAGGGUUAGGGUUGGGCUUGGAGCUAGGAUUUUUCUGAGUGCAAUGAACCAACUCCCGAGUCUCUAGGACGUUCCUUAAAAAAAUUUGUUUUUUUCCCGUGGAAUGCAUGGGUUAGGGUUAGGGUUAGGGUUGGAGCUAGGGUUAGGGUUAGGGUUAGGGUUGGAGUUAGGGUUAGUGUUGGAGCUAGGGUUAGGGUUGGGCUUGGAGCUAGGAUUUUUCUGAGUGCAAUGAACCAACUCCCGAGUUUCUAGGACGUUCCUAAAACAAUUUGAUUUUGUCCCAUGGGAAUGCAUGGGUUAGGGUUAGGGUUAGGGUUGGAGCUAGGGUUUGGGUUAGGGUUAGGGUUGGAGCUAGGGUUAGGGUUAGGGUUAAGGUUGGAGCUAGGGUUAGGGUUAGGGUUAGGAUUAGGGUGGAGCUAGGGUUAGGGUUAGGGUUAGAGCUAGGGUUGGGGCUAGGGUUAGGGUUAGGGUUAAGGUGGGAGCUAGGGUUAGGGUUAGGGUUAGGGUUGGAGCUAGGGUUAGGGUUAGGGUUAGGGUUGGAGCUAGGGUUAGGGUUAGGGUUAGGGUUGGAGUUAGGGUUAGUGUUGGAGCUAGGUUUAGGGUUGGGCUUGGAGCUAGGAUUUUUCUGAGUGCAAUGAACCAACUCCCGAGUCUCUAGGACGUUCCCAAAAAAAUUUGAUUUUUUUCCCAUAGGAAUGCAUGGGUUAGGGUUAGGGUUAGGGUUGGAGCUAGGGUUAGGGUUAGGGUUAGGGUUGGAGUUAGGGUUAGUGUUGGAGCUAGGGUUAGGGUUGGGCUUGGAGCUAGGAUUUUUCUGAGUGCAAUGAACCAACUCCCGA